rnacentral:rRNA from 1 species
UACGGAGGGUGCGAGCGUUGUCCGGAAUCAUUGGGCGUAAAGAGCGUGUAGGCGGCUCGGUAAGUCCGCUGUGAAAGUCCAGGGCUCAACCCUGGAAUGCCAGUGGAAACUGUCGAGCUAGAGUCCGGAAGAGGCGAGUGGAAUUCCUGGUGUAGCGGUGAAAUGCGCAGAUAUCAGGAGGAACACCAAUGGCGAAGGCAGCUCGCUGGGACGGUACUGACGCUGAGACGCGAAAGCGUGGGGAGCAAACAGG